AUUGAACGCUGGCGGCAGGCCUAACACAUGCAAGUCGAGCGGAGCGGGGACGGGUGAGUAACACGUGGGUAACCUCCCAUCAGAGGGGAUAACACUUGGAAACAGGUGCUAAACCGAUACUGAUGGAUGGACCCGCGGUGCAUUAGCUAGGUGGGGGGGUAACGGCUCACCAAGGCCACGAUGCGUAGCCGACCGGGGGGGGUGAUCGGCCACACUGGGACUGGGACCCGGCCCGGACGCCUACGGGAGGCAGCAGUAGGGAAUCUGCGGCAAUGGACGAAAGUCUGACCGAGCAACGCCGCGUGAGUGAAGAAGGUUUUCGGAUCGUAAAACUCUGUUGUUAGAGAAGCGGUAUCUAACCAGAAAGCCACGGCUAACUACGUGCCAGCAGCCGCGGUAAUUC
rnacentral:rRNA from 1 species